UGCAAGUCGAACGGCAGCACGGGCUUCGGCCUGGUGGCGAGUGGCGAACGGGUGAGUAAUACAUCGGAACAUGUCCUGUAGUGGGGGAUAGCCCGGCGAAAGCCGGAUUAAUACCGCAUACGAUCUGAGGAUGAAAGCGGGGGACCUUCGGGCCUCGCGCUAUAGGGUUGGCCGAUGGCUGAUUAGCUAGUUGGUGGGGUAAAGGCCUACCAAGGCGACGAUCAGUAGCUGGUCUGAGAGGACGACCAGCCACACUGGGACUGAGACACGGCCCAGACUCCUACGGGAGGCAGCAGUGGGGAAUUUUGGACAAUGGGCGCAAGCCUGAUCCAGCAAUGCCGCGUGUGUGAAGAAGGCCUUCGGGUUGUAAAGCACUUUUGUCCGGAAAGAAAUCAUUCUGGCUAAUACCCGGAGUGGAUGACGGUACCGGAAGAAUAAGC
rnacentral:rRNA from 1 species